GCGGACGGGUGAGUAAUGCAUAGGAAUCUGCCCGAUAGUGGGGGAUAACCUGGGGAAACUCAGGCUAAUACCGCAUACGUCCUACGGGAGAAAGGGGGCUUCGGCUCCCGCUAUUGGAUGAGCCUAUGUCGGAUUAGCUGGUUGGUGAGGUAAUGGCUCACCAAGGCAACGAUCCGUAGCUGGUUUGAGAGGAUGAUCAGCCACAUCGGGACUGAGACACGGCCCGAACUCCUACGGGAGGCAGCAGUGGGGAAUAUUGGACAAUGGGCGCAAGCCUGAUCCAGCCAUGCCGCGUGUGUGAAGAAGGCCUUCGGGUUGUAAAGCACUUUCAGCGAGGAAGAACGCCUGUCGGUUAAUACCCGGCAGGAAAGACAUCACUCGCAGAAGAAGCACCGGCUAACUCCGUGCCAGCAGCCGCGGUAAUACGGAGGGUGCAAGCGUUAAUCGGAAUUACUGGGCGUAAAGCGCGCGUAGGUGGCUUGAUAAGCCGGUUGUGAAAGCCCCGGGCUCAACCUGGGAACGGCAUCCGGAACUGUCAGGCUAGAGUGCAGGAGAGGAAGGUAGAAUUCCCGGUGUAGCGGUGAAAUGCGUAGAGAUCGGGAGGAAUACCAGUGGCGAAGGCGGCCUUCUGGACUGACACUGACACUGAGGUGCGAAAGCGUGGGUAGCAAACAGGAUUAGAUACCCUGGUAGUCCACGCCGUAAACGAUU
rnacentral:rRNA from 1 species